rnacentral:lncRNA from 1 species
UGUGUGUGUGUGUGUGUGUGUGUGUGUGUGUGUGUGUGUGUGUGUGUGUGUGUGUGUGUGAAUUAAAGAGUCUGUCUAGCUCAGUAGUCUGCAUAUUAGUUGCAGUAGUUGGCGCACCUCUCCUAUCUCUGAUUGUUCUAGGUGUCUUUUGCCAGAGGUUACCUCAGCAUAUGUAGGCUGAUGAUCUGAAUGAUACAUGGUGUGGACUGCAUCAUGUGGUGUACUUCUCUGAAGGACAGUGUUCUGUCCGACACUGGAGUAGUGAUCAGAGCUGUGUUGUGAUGGGCCAGGUCUAGUAGAGCUGUGUUGUGAUGGGCCAGGUCCAGUAGAGCUGUGUUGUGAUGGGCCUGGUCUAGUAGAGCUGUGUUGUGAUGGGCCGGGUCUAGUAGAGCUGUGUUGUGAUGGGCCAGGUCCAGUAGAGCUGUGUUGUGAUGGGCCAGGUCCAGUAGAGCUGUGUUGUGAUGGGCCAGGUCCAGUAGAGCUGUGUUGUGAUGGGCCUGGUCUAGUAGAGCUGUGUUGUGAUGGGCC